rnacentral:rRNA from 1 species
GGCCUACGGGGGGCAGCAGUGAGGAAUAUUGGUCAAUGGGCGGAAGCCUGAACCAGCCAAGUCGCGUGAGGGAAUAAGGCCCUACGGGUCGUAAACCUCUUUUGCCGGGGAGCAAGGGCCGGGACGAGUCCCGGUCCGGAGAGUACCCGGAGAAAAAGCAUCGGCUAACUCCGUGCCAGCAGCCGCGGUAAUACGGAGGAUGCGAGCGUUAUCCGGAUUUAUUGGGUUUAAAGGGUGCGUAGGCGGGCUUUUAAGUCAGCGGUAAAAUUGAGAGGCUCAACCUCUUCGAGCCGUUGAAACUGGUU